UCGUAAGUCAUCUGCCGUAACUUUCAUCAAGGUACUCCCAUCUUCAGCAGAAAGGCAAAGCAUGGAACAGGCUGUGUAAGUGUGUGCUUAAAAUUUUUUCACCCAUAUGGAAUGCCUUAGUUGAGGAACAAUUACUAUUAAUAAUUAACUUGGAUAUUAGAAGUUUGAAAAUUCUUAAAUUUAUCAGAAGGAGAUAAAUUUGACAUUUAUUUCCUAUCUCAAUAAGGACUCAAUUUACUAAAAUUUUAUAUUUUUAUUUGAUAAAAGUUCUUGAUUGUGCUGGAUACCGAGGAUUUCUUGUUAUGGUUUUUUAACUUCUUUUGUUCAGAUUUUUCCUUUGGUUGGAUCCUCUCAAGGUUUCUUUGUAAUAUAUUAUAUGAUUUUCCUUUGGUUUAGUUGGAUCUAAUGUCUAUUGUUGCAAAAAGAUUUUUCUUUUUUUUUAGUUUCUUUUGGUCGAAUUUGACCUUAAAUGAAGUGUAGUGAGGUUGUUUGCUUAUGUUAUACAGAUUUCUUAGAUUUGCUUCGUCGUUUUAAUUUAUUUUUUUAUCAUUAAGUUUUUUUUUGAAUUAUUUUUUUGAUAAUUAAUGAUUCUUUUGUUUUUUUGAUGAGUUUUUGUUGUAUGGGAAAAAAAAAAAGGUGGUUCCUUAUUUUUUCUUUGUUGAUUUUUAUUUGAUUUCUUUAAAAACACAGGAUCACCCGUAGGGAGAGCCGAAAAGUAAUUAACAAAGAUAACUUUCUGAGUGAUGGAAUAGUAUUAUACCAUGGAACAUCCACUUACUCGCUCGCGUGGUAUAAUUACAGUCC
rnacentral:lncRNA from 1 species